AGCCCGCUAUCGGAGUUGAACCGAUGACCAUCGCAUUACAAGUGCGGUGCUCUGACCUCU
rnacentral:tRNA from 2 species